UACAGUAGUUCAGGCUACCAGUUUGGUUGGGCCAUGCUUCAGUAGCCCAUUAUUCCUUUCACUCAGUAGAAUGGCCCCAGUUAUUCCUCUGAAAUUGGAAGUUAGAGUUUCACAGUAUCUCUAGCAGGAAAGAUUCCCUUACAUGGUUCCAGAUCUUUUACGUCUAGUAUUGGACUUGAUGAGCUACUUUACAAUUACAUUUCCUAAACUAGUUGGGUCAUGCUGCUGAGAGCUGUUUUCCAGAGCUAGUGGGUAUGGAGUUUUCUUCCAGGCUUCAGGGCAGGAAGUGGAUAAUAAAAAUAAAUUUAUAGAUGGCGCUAAGUGAGGUAGCCUAGACAACCAUAAAUAAGAAUAAUCAAACCAUCACGUUGUACUGGAGAAGACAGAAUAUUCCUCUAAUUGAAGGGUAGCUAUCAUAAUUUAAAAUUGUCAUCAUGAAGGAUUGUACUUUUUUUCUCCAAAAAAGGUUAAAGGCAAAUACCUAUUUUUUUUUUUUUUUUGGUUUCUUAUUGAUUCAAAUUCCCUUUCCACACUGCAAUCUUAGUAUAGAUUUCUGGAGCACGUGAUAAUAUAUUUUAAAGAGCUAUUCACAAUAAAUCUGUUAUGUUUUUGUACUUGUUUCAAGGGUGACAUGUAAAGUUAGUGGUUGCUCUACAGUAAGCAUCUGGUAGUGGAGCGGCAGUGCAGCAUGACAAGGACCUGGACUGCAGUGUCAGCCCUGGGAAUGUGCAGAAACGGAGAAUAGGAGAAAAUUCAAAGGGAGAACUGGAGUUCUUAGCUCUCCAUUGGCUUCUGGUUGGCAAAAGAGAUGAAAGAAUCAAAAUGUUCAUGGUUCCAAGCAAGUGUGACUGUGACCAUGCAGAAGUUACUCAAUUCUGUUUUAGGUAAAGAACAAGCACAAGUAGACAUGUGGCCUGUUUGGGCUUUGGGAAAGACAGGGGAUCAUCAGUUACCAAUGUAGAGUGAUGGAGAAGAAAAAAGGUGCUUGGAGAAGAGUGUAUGGAAAAAGAUUUAGGGAAUACUGGCAUCUUGGGAAAUGAGAAGAGAAAGAUUUGCAAAAGGGACAAAGAAGAGAAAAACUAGGAAAAUACAACAUCCACAGGAAGACUGUCUCUCAAAGGAUUGCAAUGGGAUAAAAGUAUUACAAAGAAAAGAAGUGAAAAUGUGUGAUGAUGUAGAAAGCCAGUAUAGAAGGCGAGGGGCCAGAACCUAGAAGAAAACUUUGCCAUCUAGGAGUGGACAGCAUCUGCAGUGCCAUGUGUUAGGAGGACAUCCAAUUUCACAGGAAACAUGAUGUCCUGGAAAAAAAGGCCAGAACAACCCAGCAACUAGGUGGUGUGCAGACAUAGCAAUCAGUUUUUCAAAAGGGACCCUGCAGGGUGAGGUGUGUCCCUGAAAGUAUCACUGUAUAACUGGGAUGGGGACUCCAGAAGAGAGGGUGAUAUUUAGAGAGCCUCGAAUGAAACCAGGGAUAUCUGGUUGGAAAGCAAUCUUGCAGUCUCUAAGAAAGAUGCUGAUAAGUGCAAAGCAGUUCUAAAGAGCUUGAGAUAAUGCACCAAAUGGUGCUUGCAGGGGAGAAGGGAGACAGAUUAGGGUGCAUAAUUGAUAAAUAAAUGGGCAAAGAGAGAGGGAGAAUGGUAGAUUAGGAAUCAACAGAGUAAAGCUAAACUUUUAUUUCUCCAAGCAGCUGGAGGUCUGUACAAAUAAAAAAGCCCCAGGAACCCCCUUCCCUGAGAAGGGGAAAGAUUAAAGUAAUUGAGAAUAACAAGAUCCUGGAGUUAUGGUAAAUAAAAGUUUAGGUUGGUUAAAAAAAAAGUUUGGAAUGGCAACAUUGGGAGCUAUGAUAAGGCAACAUUGAGAGAUAAAUAACACGAUGUCUUGACAACUGCAAAGGCCCUGAUAGAGUUCAGGCAUGAUCACGUAGAAGGCUACCUGGUGUGUGAGAUUGUGAGAAUUUCUCUAACAGUAGUGUGCAGGGUAAAUUUUAAAAAGCAGAUGGAGCCCUAACCCAAGGCUGGCAACUUUGUAGCCAAAGUAAAGGGAAUGAGAAAUUUUCUAGAAGUCACAUACACUGAACAUGUGUGACCUUGACCUUGGGCAAAUCGUAAACCCCUCUAAGCACCAACCAUCUGACAAAUGUGGAAAUAAGGAGACAAAGUGUUAAAGCUCCUUAUAUAAUUGCUGGGCAAAAAAAAAAAAGUAAUUUUUAUACUUUGUAACCAUAUAUAGUCUAUAGCCUCUUCAGAGGAGGAAAUGCUGCAAUAAUAGACACGUGAAAAAACAUGUGUUCAACGAACAAAUGAGUGAAUAAGUGAAUUAGCAUAACACUUAUUUAACAACAGCAUUGUAUUUGGUGCCAAGAUUAUAGAGCCAGAUAUUUCCUGUUGUGUGUACAAGUUCUCUGAGCUUGAACAAAAAGAUUUUUCUUCAGAAAUCAAGCCAUAUUUUAUAAUCUCUUUAUUUUUGAGUGUAUAGAUAAAAACACACUCUUAAAGCAGGAACUACUGCUUUGACACAUUUAAGUAAUAGGAUUAGAGAGCUGGAAGGACCUUUGGUGACCAACUCUAGUGCUAUCUUUUUUAGAUGGGAAAACAGCCUGCAAAAAUGUUAAGUAGCCUCCUCAGGAUCAAGUACUAUUGGAGCCAGCAUUGGUGGUCAAUCCUGUAUAGAAAUGACUUCAGUUGUAGAUCUGUGACCUUCCUUACUUACCUUCCUCUACCAAAGCCACUCAGUAAAUAUUGAAGACCUAUUAAGUAUAAAGAAGUGCAAGACAGCUUGAUGGAUUAGAACACGUAUGUAACAAACCCACUCCCAGGGAACAUGUACAAUCUUGUAUGAAAGUUGAGACAGAUACACUGAUGACUACCACACAGAGAAACCUAUGAGGUCUUCUGUUUGAAAUAUCUCAGAAGAAAAAAAAGAAAAGCCUACGUGUGUUUAUGUGGAGACACAUUCCAAAGAAGGGACAUGUGGCUGGUUAUACUCAAGGUGGUUAUGUUCAGUUAAUCUACCAAACUGGAUGAUAUGGGUCAGGACCCAGUUUUAGUUCAGAGAUCCUCAGUUUUAUUGUGUGCUUAGUCGUAUUACUCAAAUGAGUGAAAUUAGCUUUUGAUAGAGUCAGGGUACCACUUCAUGUGACCAAACAAAUGCACGAAGCCUGGAGAUGGCUGUGUUUGAGCACAGGCUUUGUCCUGCUCGCAGAUGUGCAACUGUGCAUCUAUGGACAGCAGUAGAGGGCUUCUAAGAAUACUGGUGGCAAAUAUGUCAGGAGUCCCUGGCCAAUACUGUUGAUGCGAAGCUAAGGUUCUAAACAGUUUUGGAUCACAGCCUCUUUCAGAAUCUCUACGUAUUUUAAAAACCUGUGAAGCGUGUCCUUAAACAGACAUGCACGUGUAUGUGCACAUAUGCAUGAUUACAUAAAUUUCCAGAAGUUCAUAAACCAAGGGGUUUAAGAACCUUAGUUAGGAAACUCGUGUAUAGGCACAUUACCUUAGAUAAAUUUGGUCAAAUCCUCCAGUGAAGAUAACUAAUGGUGCAGUUUCUGUGAAAACACACAGGACUCUGAAAAUGGAGCUACGGACCCAGUAAAGAGUUUGUACAACUCAGUGAGACUUCCUAAAUUCAUUGAUUUACAUACUCUACUAACCACCAUCAAUCUUGGCACACAAAUGACCAGAAUAUACAGAAUCUAUCUUUGCUUUAUUUGUUUUGUAAUGGUUCUUGAAUGCUUCUUUAAAGAAUAAAACUACUGGACAUAGAAAAUUCUUCAGCUUGUACAAUCAUUUAGGAUGGUGUAAUUCAGAUGAAGCAUUACAUGUGAAAAGGAAACUCAGUCAGAUGACAAGCAAAUUCUUGGCAUCCAACCCUGACCACCAAUGCAGAAUAUGACUAGGGAAUAACAUUUUUAGUAAAAGGUCACAGACAACACGAACUUAACACAUUUUUAUUCACCUGGUGGCAAAUAGAAAUGAAAUCCCAGAAGCUUGGUUCCUUGAAUAAAUAUUGCAGCAACUGACACAUCCAAAUAUAUUUAAUACAAACAGUCUCUCAUUGCAAGUGCUAUGUUUUUUCUGACCAUUACAUAUUUUUACUCAUUAUUUACACAGCUAAUGACUGUUUUAUAAUGUUAAACUCAACCUUCCAUUUUUCUGAAAUUAUGUUUAUAUAGUUAUUGGUUUGAUGGAAUAAUUAAAAUGCACUUAUGUGAGAUAUAAACUAAGUUUCCUUUUCCUGUCUUGUUUCUUAUAAUUUAAUCUGUAUUAGGUCAUUCAACUAGUAAUUGUUAUUCUAAUAAUUUCCCCUAUUUUCUUUUCUUUGAACUGGCUGACUAGCUAAAGUGUAUAAAAACAGUGACUCAUAGACAUGCAUUUUGAAGUAACCAAUAUAAAUAGGUACAUUCUGGUUAUAUCACAUUUUAGACAACUGCUUAGUCAAAUGAAAUGCAAAAAGAAAAACGGAAAGAAAAGUAUUUCAAAUACCUUGAAAUGUGUGCUUCAAGCUGACUCUCAGAAUAGGUGCACAUUUAUAUAGCUAUGUAAAAAAGAAGGGGAAAAACACAGAAAUUCCAAAAUAUUUUCAAACUGGCUUAGACAUCUUGACACUUUACUGUUUUCCUCUGCCAGGAGAGUAAAUGAGUGGUUUGCCCUCUGGGGAAAAAUCCAUUUAAAAGCGAAACUAUUUUAAAUGCAUACCUUUUUACAAGAAAGGAAAGAAUAGUUCUUAGUAGUGGGGGAGUGGGUAGGAUAUAUGUAUAUGGAAGGGCACAGUGAAAUGUAUUAGUAUAGGGUCUUGUUUACUUGUAAGUAUUUUCUUCCUUUUUGUCAUUCCUCACACAUUUACAUGGUUAGCACUGGUGAUACAAAGAAGAAAGAAA